rnacentral:rRNA from 1 species
CAGUCGCCGCGGUAACACGUAGGUGGCAAGCGCUGUCCGGAAUUAUUGGGCGUAAAGGGCUCGCAGGCGGUUUCCUAAGUCUGAUGUGAAAGCCCCCGGCUCAACCGGGGAGGGUCAUUGGAAACUGGGAAGCUUGAGUGCAGAAGAGGAGAGUGGAAUUCCACGUGUAGCGGUGAAAUGCGUAGAGAUGUGGAGGAACACCAGUGGCGAAGGCGACUCUCUGGUCUGUAACUGACGCUGAGGAGCGAAAGCGUGGGGAGCGAACAGGAUUAGAUACCCGAGUAGUCCCUGUCUCUUAUAC